rnacentral:rRNA from 1 species
UACGUAGGGGGCAAGCGUUGUCCGGAAUUAUUGGGCGUAAAGAGCGUGUAGGCGGUCCGGUAAGUCAGCUGUGAAAGUCAAGGACUCAACCCUUGAAUGCCGGUUGAUACUGUCGGGCUAGAGUCCGGAAGAGGCGAGUGGAAUUCCCGGUGUAGCGGUGAAAUGACGCAGAUAUCGGGAGGAACACCAAUGGCGAAGGCAGCUCGCUGGACGGUACUGACGCUGAGACGCGAAAGCCAGGGGAGCAAACGGG